GCACUCGUAGUGUAGUGGUUAACAUACCCGCUUCCCAUUAGCGCAGAAAUAGCGUGUUGGAACUAGCGGGUGGCCCGAGUUCAAACCUCGGCGGGUGCA